rnacentral:tRNA from 28 species
GGGUCGUUAGCUCAGUCGGUAGAGCAGUUGGCUUUUAACCAAUUGGUCGUAGGUUCGAAUCCCACACGACCCACCA